rnacentral:rRNA from 1 species
GACGAACGCUGGCGGCGUGCUUAACACAUGCAAGUCGAACGGAAAGGCCCUGCUUGCAGGGGACUCGAGUGGCGAACGGGUGAGUAACACGUGGGUGUUCUGCCCUCUACUUCGGGGUAAGACUUGGAAACUGGGGGGAAUACAGGGUAGGAGACAUCCUGAGGGUGAUGGGUGGAAAGAUUUUUUGGUGUGGGAUGAGCUCGCGGCCUUUCCGCUUGUUGGUGGGGUAAUGGCCUACCAAGGCGGCGACGGGUGGCCGGCCCGGGGGGGUGGACGGCCCCCUUUGGACCUGGGUUCGGCCCCGGCCCCCACGGGGGGCAGGCGUGGGGAAUUUUGCCCCAUGGGCGCGAGCCUGAUGCAGCCACGGCGCGGGGGGGAUGACCGGCUUCGGGUUGUAAACUCCUUUCGCUCGGGACGAAGCCGUUUGUGACGGUACCUAGAUAAGAAGCACCGGCUAACUACGUG